CCUUUUUAAUGCAGGAAACUCGAAUACAAUAGUGGCUCUUGCUGGGAACAAGGCUGAUUUGUUAGAUACGAGGCAGGUGUCAGCAGAUGAAGCAAAGGUGUAUGCUCAAGAGAAUGGUCUCUUCUUCAUGGAAACUUCUGCCAAAACAGCUAUCAAUGUGAACGACGUGUUCUAUGAGAUUGCGAAGAAACUGCUUCAAGGGUAGCAGGUUCAGAACCCACAAGGCGGGAUGGUUCUCAACCAGAGACCACCUGAGAGGAUGUCUGUUAAAUUGCAGGUAGGUUACUGACUGCACUUGUUUGUGAAUACUUGGAGUGACCACAACUAAGUCACACAAUGAAACUUUACUUUCCAGAGUGUAACCUGCCGGACUUCUGAUAGAAUGAACUGAAAGACUUCUCUAACAAAAGUGGAGCUGAGGG